CUACGGGUGGCAGCAGUGGGGAAUAUUGCACAAUGGGCGCAAGCCUGAUGCAGCCAUGCCGCGUGUAUGAAGAAGGCCUUCGGGUUGUAAAGUACUUUCAGCGGGGAGGAAGGGAGUAAAGUUAAUACCUUUGCUCAUUGACGUUACCCGCAGAAGAAGCACCGGCUAACUCCGUGCCAGCAGCCGCGGUGAAUACGGAGGGUGCAAGCGUUAAUCGGAAUUACUGGGCGUAAAGCGCACGCAGGCGGUUUGUGAAGUCAGAUGUGAACUCCCCGGGCUCAACCUGGGAACUGCAUCUGAGACUGGCAAGCUUGAGUCUCGGAGAGGGGGGUAGAAUUCCAGGUGUAGCGGUGAAAUGCGUAUAGAUCUGGAGGAAUACCGGUGGCGAAGGCGGCCCCCUGGACGAAGACUGACGCUCAGGUGCGAAAGCGUGGGGAGCAAACAGGAUUAGAUACCCGAGUAGUC
rnacentral:rRNA from 1 species